CUGAGUCCUUUCUUUUCAACAGACUUCACAGUAUCUUCACAAGGAGUAGAUUCCAUCUCAAGAAACCACUUUCUUUGCUCAUCCAUAAGAAGCAAUUCCUCAUGCAUUAAAGUUUUGUCAUGAGAUUGCAGCAAUUCAGUCACCUCUUCAGGCUCCACUUCUAAUUC